rnacentral:rRNA from 1 species
UGGGGAAUAUUGCACAAUGGAGGAAACUCUGAUGCAGCGACGCCGCGUGAGCGAAGAAGGCUUUCGAGUUGUAAAGCUCUGUCCUCAAGGACGAUAAUGACGGUACUUGAGGAGGAAGCCCCGGCUAACUACGUGCCAGCAGCCGCGGUAAUACGUAGGGGGCAAGCGUUGUCCGGAUUUAUUGGGCGUAAAGGGUGCGUAGGCGGUCCUUUAAGUCAGAUGUGAAAGAACGAGGCUCAACCUCGUCAAGCAUUUGAAACUGAAGGACUUGAGUUAAGGAGAGGAAAGUGGAAUUCCUAGUGUAGCGGUGAAAUGCGUAGAUAUUAGGAGGAAUACCGGUGGCGAAGGCGACUUUCUGGACUUAAACUGACGCUGAGGCACGAAAGCGUGGGGAGCAAACA